rnacentral:rRNA from 1 species
CCUACGGGUGGCAGCAGUGAGGAAUAUUGGUCAAUGGCCGGAAGGCUGAACCAGCCAUGCCGCGUGAAGGUCAGUGCCCUAUGGGCGUUAAACUUCUUUUGUGCGGGAGCAAUAAUGGUCACGUUUGGCCAGACGAGAGUACCGUACGAAUAAGCAUCGGCUAACUCCGUUCCAGCAGCCGCGGUAAUACGGGGGAUGCAAGCGUUGUCCGGGUUUUUUUGGUUUAAAGGGUGCGUAGGCUGGGAGGUAAGUCAGCGGGGAAAUGCCCCCGCUCAACGGGGUGAAGUGCCAUUGAUACUGCCUUGCUGGAAUGCGGAUGCCGUGGGAGGAAUGUGUGGUGUAGCGGUGAAAUGCAUAGAUAUCACACAGAACACCGAUUGCGAAGGCAUCUCACGAAUCCGCGAUUGACGCUGAUGCACGAAAGCGUGGGUAUCAAACAGGAUUAGAUACCCUGGUAGUC